UUCCCAAUCCUAGCCCUAACCCUAAUGCGAUAGACACUUUUAUCCUAUAUGAUGGAGGAUUUUGCUCAAAGUUCAAUGUCGUCCUAGAUUUGUGGACUCUACUUUGGAAGAUCUGUGGAUUCAACUUGUUCACAUCAAGAACUGACUUAUCUACUUAAAUUCUCAGUGGGGCAUGUACUGAGACUUCAAGAUGUUGAAUAUUUAAUUAGAUGUUAACCUCAAGAAUUUAAUUAAUGUUGGAUUUGCACAUCUA